rnacentral:rRNA from 1 species
AGUGAACGCUGGCGGUAGGCCUAACACAUGCAAGUCGAACGGCAGCACAGUAAGAGCUUGCUCUUACGGGUGGCGAGUGGCGGACGGGUGAGGAAUACAUCGGAAUCUACUUUUUCGUGGGGGAUAACGUAGGGAAACUUACGCUAAUACCGCAUACGACCUACGGGUGAAAGCAGGGGAUCUUCGGACCUUGCGCGAUUGAAUGAGCCGAUGUCGGAUUAGCUAGUUGGCGGGGUAAAGGCCCACCAAGGCGACGAUCCGUAGCUGGUCUGAGAGGAUGACCACCCACACUGGAACUGAGACACGGCCCAGACUCGACGGGGAGGCAGCAGGGGGAAAUAUUGGAGAAGGGGCGCAAGCUUGACCCAGCCAUACCGCGGGGGUGAAGAAGGCCUUCGGUUUGUAAACCCUUUUUGUGGGAAAAGAAAAGCAGCAGGUUAAUACCCCGCUGUUCUGACGGUACCAAAAAAAUAAGCCCCGGCUAACUUCGUG